rnacentral:rRNA from 1 species
GACGAACGCUGGCGGCGUGCUUAACACAUACAAGUCGAACGGAAAGGCCCUGCUUGCAGGGUACUCGAGUGGCGAACGGGUGAGUAACACGUGGGUGAUCUGCCCUGCACUUCGGGAUAAGCCUGGGAAACUGGGUCUAAUACCGGAUAGGAGCCAUUUUUAGUGUGAUGGUUGGAAAGUUUUUUCGGUGUAGGAUGAGCUCGCGGCCUAUCAGCUUGUUGGUGGGGUAAUGGCCUACCAAGGCGGCGACGGGUAGCCGGCCUGAGAGGGUGGACGGCCACAUUGGGACUGAGAUACGGCCCAGACUCCUACGGGAGGCAGCAGUGGGGAAUAUUGCACAAUGGGCGCAAGCCUGAUGCGGCGACGCCGCGGGGGGGAUGACGGCCUUCGGGUUGGAAACUCCUUUCGCUAGGGACGAAGCUUUUUGUGACGGUACCUAGAUAAGAAGCACCGGCUAACUACGUG